GGCAGAUUGGCAGACUAUCACAGGCUGCUAGGGACCUCUUAGGAGACUAUUGGGCCCCAGGCACGCGACGAUGCUGCCUCUACAUCUGGGCAUUCCCGGUCUGGUUGGCGUUUGGAUCGGAAUCUCAAUCCAUUAUAAGGUGAGUUCGGAUAGUUCAACAACCCUUGCCCCGGUCUGGGAACUCCCGAUGGGCAAGGAUCCUCUUGUGUACCAGC